GGAUAUAGAAUACACCUGGACAACAUCACUGACAGGAUAUAGAAUACACCUGGACAACAUCACUGACAGGAUAUAGAAUACACCUGGACAACAUCACUGACAGGAUAUAGAAUACACCUGGACAACAUCACUGACAGGAUAUAGAAUACACCUGGACAACAUCACUGACAGGAUAUAGAAUACACCUGGACAACAUCACUGACAGGAUAUAGAAUACACCUGGACAACAUCACUGACAGGAUAUAGAAUACACCUGGACAACAUCACUGACAGGAUAUAGAAUACACCUGGACAACAUCACUGACAGGAUAUAGAAUACACCUGGACAACAUCACUGACAGGAUAUAGAAUACACCUGGACAACAUCACUGACAGGAUAUAGAAUACACCUGGACAACAUCACUGACAGGAUAUAGAAUAUACCUGGACAACAUCACUGACAGGAUAUAGAAUACACCUGGACAACAUCACUGACAGGAUAUAGAAUACACCUGGACAAUGUGUCUGACAUAGAUUCAAACCAGGUGGACAUCAAUCUGUCUGAUAUGGACAGGAGACAGCAGCACUGCUCUGAUGACCUGCAGAGAGGAGAGGAGACAAACAGACAGAGAUUUAAACCAGGUGGACAUCAAUCUGUCUGAUAUGGACAGGAGACAGCAGCACUGCUCUGAUGACCUGCAGAGGAGAGGAGACAAACAGACAGAGGUACAGAAGACGUUACUUGAAUCACCUUCCACAACACAUGAAUAAUGACAUUUGUAAACCCAGUGAUCGUGGUGCCCUUUGUUUAAUGCAUGUCAACAAGACCCCGGGACAACACACUCCUUCUAAGGCUGAGAAACAGGUGUGUGGAAAUGUAUGACAGAUAAUGACGACAAUACGAGGGGGGGGGGGUUCUCUCUGUAUGUAGACAUUGAACAAUGUUCUGUAUAGAUAUGACAUCAAUAAGACGAGGUUCUGUAUGUUCUGUAUAGAUAUGACAUCAAUAAGACGAGGUUCUGUAUAGAUAUGACAUCAAUAAGACGAGGUUCUGUAUGUUCUGUAUAGAUAUGACAUCAAUAAGACGAGGUUCUGUAUAGAUAUGACAUCAAUAAGACGAGGUUCUGUAUGUUCUGUAUAGAUAUGACAUCAAUAAGACGAGGUUCUGUAUAGAUAUGACAUCAAUAAGACGAGGUUCUGUAUAGAUAUGACAUCAAUAAGACGAGGUUCUGUAUGUUCUGUAUAGAUAUGACAUCAAUAAGACAAGGUUCUGUAUAGAUAUGACAUCAAUAAGACAAGGUUCUGUAUGUUCUGUAUAGAUAUGACAUCGAUAAGACGAGGUUCUGUAUGUUCUGUAUAGAUAUGACAUCGAUAAGACGAGGUUCUGUAUGUGGACAUCGAAUCGUAUCAUGUUCUAUACUAAAACAUAUUAUUGAAAACAUGUACAGCUGGUAAACCAGAAAUAAAGACAGACCAUAGUUUUAAUUCUGUGUCCACAAACUGUUCAAAAAAAUACCUAUCUGUUCUUCUCAGCUCUGUUGAGACUCGUGGAGUUAUUGCAUUGUUAAAUCUCUAUUUUUUUAAGGUAUGAUAUAUAUAUAUAUAUAUAUGUUUUAUAUGAAAAGGGAUUGGUUUAAAACUGGAGAUUUUAUUUGAUAGAUUUAUAACAUUCAAUGAUGUUGUUUUUUUAAACAUUUUUUUUUUAUGUUGAUAAAAUGUUUUGCCUUGAUGAGAACAUGGCAGGCAGGAAGAGGGUGACGAAAACAAAAUGGCUUCCUUUGAAAACAAUCGCGUUCCGUGUUCACGUGCUGAUCGGAACUUGGAACUUUCCGACCUGCUGAACGCUUGUGGUUAUUAAACACGUGCCGCGUUCAACCAGUUAGAAAGUCUGAAUUUCCUAGUUUUCCGACUAGCAAGUGAACACGACAUUUAAACAUCCCAUUUUCCGGCGCAGGGAUAUGACGUCAUCAGUAUGAAUCUGCUGCAGGUGUUUUGACGAAUGUUCAUGUUUAUUUUUUAUUUUUUUAAAUAAUUUAAAUGAUUGAUUGAUUGUUUUUGAUCAGAAUGUUGUAUCACUGUUAAUUGAUCACUGUUAAUUGAUCACUGUUAAUUGAUCACUGUUAAUUGAUCACUGUUAAUUGAUCACUGUUAAUUGAUCACUGUUAAUUCAUUGAAGGCAUCUACCUCA